CGGGAGAGAUGUGUGUUUGUUUGGGCGAGACAGGCAACAAGGCUUGGCCUGGUCCAAAUGAACCGGAUCAAGCAGAUUCAUGGCUUCGUCCUCCGCAAUGGCGUCGACGACAUCCAGGCGCUCGUCCUCCAGCUUCUCCACCUCCCCAGCCCCAACCUCCGCUAUGCACACGCCCUCCUUCUCUCCCACCCCACCCCACCCUCCACCUUCCUCUACAACAAGCUCUUCCAGGCCUACGCCCGCGGCGGCGGCGCCUCAUUCGAGCCUUGCGCCGAGCUCUUCGUCAGCAUGCGCCGCUCUCCAAACCCGCACACCUUCGUAUUCCUCUUCUCUGCCUGCGCCGCCUUCGCCCGCCCCGGCCACGGCCGCGCCCUCCACGCCCGCUUCAUUCUCUCCGGCUUCCCUUUCGACGCCUUCGUUGCCACCGCCCUCCUCGACCUCUACGCCAAGUCCGGCCUCUUCGACUCCGCCCGACGCGUGUUCGACGAAAUGCCCACGCGUGACGUCGCCCUAUGGAACUCCAUGAUCCGGGGCUACUUCCGGUGCGGUGAUCUGGACAAGGCCAGGGAGUUGUUCGACGCGAUGCCGUUCAGGAAUGUCAUCUCCUGGACGUCAAUGAUCUCGGGGUACACCCAGAACUCGCGGUACGAGGAGGCUAUCAAUGUAUUCUCGAGGAUGUGGCUGGAAGGAGAGGUGAAGCCUAACGAGGUCACGCUUGCAAGCGUGCUGCCGGCCUGCGCGCAUCUUGGGGCGAUGGAACUGGGAAUGAAAAUUGAGGCAUAUGUACGGGACAACGGGAUGAUUCGCAACGUAUUUGUGUGCAAUGCUCUGCUAGAAAUGUUCGCAAAAUGUGGCAACAUCGAGCAUGCAAAGAAGGUGUUUGAUGAAAUGGGCGUGAUCAGAAAUUUGUGUUCUUAUAAUACGAUGAUCAUGGGACUGGCAGUGCACGGGAAGUGGCAUGAAAGUCUGGAGCUUUUCCAGGAAUUGCAGGCAAGAAGAAUUAGCCCCGAUGACAUUACACUGGUAGGUGUUCUUUUGGCUUGCACUCAUGGAGGACUUGUAGAUGAGGGACAAUUUUUCUUUGAUUCCAUGGAAAAGGACUUUUGUAUUACUCCUAAAUUGGAACACUAUGGUUGCUUGGUCGAUCUAUUAGGGCGUGCUGGAUAUACAAAAGAAGCCUACAGUCUGAUAACUAGUAUGCCAAUGGAGCCAGACUCAGUUAUAUGGGGUGCUCUACUAGGAGCUUGCAGCUUUCAUCGAGACGUCCAAUUAGCAGAAAUUGCUGCUGAAUUCCUAUAUAAACUUGAGCCUUUGAAUUCAGGAAACCUUGUUAUUCUUUCCAAUGUGUAUGCUUCAUUAGGGAGGUGGGCUUCUGUUGCAAAUGUUUGGAGACUGAUGAAAGGAAAGCAACACAGAAAGUCAGCUGGUUACAGCAUUAUUGAGUUGGACGGAAAUAUGCACAAAUUCCUUGUGGAGGAUAAAUCACACCCACAGUUUGAAGAGAUUUAUACUCUCUUGGAUGAGAUUACAAUGAGUAUGAGACAAUUUGGUUACAAGCCUAAUCGGAUUCUCCAGGCCGAAAGCUAAGAAGAGUAAGAUGCCAGUAAGGUUGACUGUUGCCAACAAACUCUGAAGCGGCAUACAGUGGCCGGCGGUGAAAACAUCACCUUAUGAGACAUCAAGUUUCCCAUAUUAUUUGAGUCAAUGAUGUAUCAAAAAAUUGCAGCCAUAUAAGCUCCUCAUCUCACAAGAAUUUGACAUAUUUCAGUUUACUAGAAGGGAAAAUCUGGUGCUAAAGAAGCAAUGUGGUGAUUGAGUACAAGACAAUUAAAUCAUGAAGUUGCAGGUGUUUCAGGCUUCAUGUCGGGGCUAAAAUACUUUCAUCUUUUUAAUUAUCAAUUCAAAGAUUAUGAAUGUACUAGCAAAAGAUUUUAACUUCUACAUUUCUAUCUACUAUUCUAGAGAAAGGUGGUAUGAUGCAUACAUCAUCUGUCGGCAAACUUGGAAGCAUCUCCGAAAGCAUUCUUUCUACUGGGUGAAGCAUUGUUGAAACCAGUAUCGUGCUUCUGCAAGAAUAAGCCAGUUCCUUGCUUAUCUCACCACAAAAUCAAGAUUAUAGAUUUUUUUUUUUCAUCUUUUCUCUGUUUAUUGGUAAUCCCUACUGUGUUUGACAAAUUGUUCAUCUAUUUCUCUAAGCAUUGAUUUGAUUAAACGGAAUUUUGUUAGUCUCCUCAAUUGUAAAUUAUA